UGUAUAUGAGCCAUUUUGUAUUUUUGCUCAUGUACCUGUGGAAAUUGCCAUAUUCCUAGAAGAGGGAUAGCUAAGUCAAAAAUUAAAUAUAUAUGUAAUUUUGAUAGAUAUGUACUGCCAAACAUCCCGCAAAAUGUACCAUUUUGAAUUCCCAAAGACAAUGUAUGAGAAUGCCUAAUUGCACACAGUCUUACCAACUCAUAUGUUGUCAAACAUCUUUAUUUUUUUCCCAUCUGAUAAGUGAGCAACAAUUCCUCAGUGUAGUUUUAAUUACAUUUCUCUUUUUGUGAACAAGAGAUUAAGUAAGUGUACUUUUACAUUAUAUGUUCUCUGAAUUGUCUGUUUUUAUCUCUAGCCCAUUUUCUUUCUUUUUUUUUUUUUUUUUUUUUUUUUUUGUAGAGAUGGGGUCUCUCUCUGUCGCCUAGGAAGGUCUCCAAUUUCUGGGCUCAAAGGAUCCUCACAAAGUGCUGGGAUUACAGGCAUGAGCCACCUUGCACAGCCUCAGCCCACUUUCUCUAUAGUUUUUUCCAGAGGGAAGGGGGGAUAAUUUUUUGUAAUGUGAUUAAAUUUAUCAAACUUUUUUUAAUGACAUGCAUUUUUCAUCACAGCUAAACAUUUUUCUCACUCAGAAUAUAGAGAAAUUCACUCAUAAUUUCUUAUUGUCCUGAAGAAAUUCUUAUGCAUACCAAAGUGCCAGUUUAUGAUCCAAGUUUGUAAAGUGAUGUCAAACAUUGCAUUGUUUAACAUGAGACAUUUAAUAAUCAGUCAUGUUCAUAGUUUUCUUAAUUCUUCUAAAUGAUGUCAAUCUGAUAUCUUCUUGCCUUUCUAAGAGAAGACAACAUAAAUCAUUAUGAUGCAGCCCACAAUCCAGCCAAUCAGGAGAAGAAUAGGAACCAGAAGGUGUGAAAAUGUAGACCCCGCUUUAAGAGAAUACGUGAGACUGUCAUAAACCCUGGGUAUUUUGAAUCAAACCAUGGGUCUUUUACUGUUAUGUGACCUUUGGCAAUUCUGGGCUUGAACUUUCCUACUGCUUUUUCAGCCAUUAUUCCUGUUGGUGGGUGGCUAGGUCAGGCCACGCUUACCUCUUUCUUUUGUUAUCCAGCGUCUCUUUGAACUUUAAAUAGAGAGAAAUCUGAAGAUUGCGGCAGCUGCCCGUCUCCUGGCUGCCAAUUGUCUGCAGAGUGAUGUAAGUCAUGGGAAAGCAGAACUCCUCGGUAACAUGAAGAAAAUGUUCUAUAAAGAAGGUGUACAGAGGAAAAACAACAUUCCACCUAUACAAGUGCUAUCAAGGAGAAGGGUGAUAUAUUAGAAAGAAAGGAUUUUGAUGUUGGAGAGACUUGGGUUCAAAUUCCAGCUCUUUCUGUAAUGAAAGCCAAGUUGCUUAACCUGGGAAUCAGCUUCUUUAGUUUUAAAAUGAGGAUAAUAAUACCUACUCAUGGGAGUCGCAUAAAGAUGAAAUGAAAGUCUGUA
rnacentral:lncRNA from 10 species